GCAGUGUACCCGCGGCAAGACGGAAAGACCCCGUGAACCUUUACUAUAGCUUGACACUGAACAUUGAGCCUUGAUGUGUAGGAUAGGUGGGAGGCUUUGAAGCGUGGACGCCAGUCUGCGUGGAGCCGACCUUGAAAUACCACCCUUUAAUGUUUGAUGUUCUAACGUGGAUCCGUAAUCCGGGUUGCGGACAGUGUCUGGUGGGUAGUUUGACUGGGGCGGUCUCCUCCUAAAGAGUAACGGAGGAGCACGAAGGUUGGCUAAUCCUGGUCGGACAUCAGGAGGUUAGUGCAAUGGCAUAAGCCAGCUUGACUGCGAGCGUGACGGCGCGAGCAGGUGCGAAAGCAGGUCAUAGUGAUCCGGUGGUUCUGAAUGGAAGGGCCAUCGCUCAACGGAUAAAAGGUACUCCGGGGAUAACAGGCUGAUACCGCCCAAGAGUUCAUAUCGACGGCGGUGUUUGGCACCUCGAUGUCGGCUCAUCACAUCCUGGGGCUGAAGUAGGUCCCAAGGGUAUGGCUGUUCGCCAUUUAAAGUGGUACGCGAGCUGGGUUUAGAACGUCGUGAGACAGUUCGGUCCCUAUCUGCCGUGGGCGCUGGAGAACUGAGGGGGGCUGCUCCUAGUACGAGAGGACCGGAGUGGACGCAUCACUGGUGUUCGGGUUGUCAUGCCAAUGGCACUGCCCGGUAGCUAAAUGCGGAAGAGAUAAGUGCUGAAAGCAUCUAAGCACGAAACUUGCCCCGAGAUGAGUUCUCCCUGAGACUUAGAGUCUCCUGAAGGAACGUUGAAGACGACGACGUUGAUAGGCCGGGUGUGUAAGCGCAGCGAUGCGUUGAGCUAACCGGUACUAAUGAACCGUGAGGCUUAACCUUACAAUGCCGAAG
rnacentral:rRNA from 1 species